UACAGAGGCCCCAAGCGUUGUUCGGAUUCACUGGGCGUAAAGGGUGCGUAGGCGGUCGGGUAAGUCUGAUGUGAAGUCUCACAGCUUAACUGUGAAACUGCAUUGGAUACUAUCCGGCUCGAGGAAUGGAGGGGAGACUGGAAUACUUGGUGUAGCAGUGAAAUGCGUAGAUAUCAAGUGGAACACCAGUGGCGAAGGCGAGUCUCUGGACAUUUCCUGACGCUGAGGCACGAAAGCCAGGGGAGCAAACGGG
rnacentral:rRNA from 1 species